rnacentral:rRNA from 1 species
AGCAGCCGCGGUAAUUCCAGCUCCAAUAGCGUAUAUUAAAGUUGUUGCAGUUAAAAAGCUCGUAGUUGAAUUUCGGGAUUGGCGCAUCGGUCGUGCCUCACGGGGUAUGAACUGGUGCAGUCAAUUUCUCACCUUCUGGAGAACCGCGAUGUCCUUAAUUGGAUGCCGCGGGGAACCAGGACCUUUACUUUGAAAAAAUUAGAGUGUUUAAAGCAGGCAUUUUUGCUUGAAUACAUUAGCAUGGAAUAAUAAAAUAGGACGGCAUGGUUCUAUUUUGUUGGUUUCUAGGACCACCGUAAUGAUUAAUAGGGAUAGUUGGGGGCAUUAGUAUUCAAUUGUCAGAGGUGAAAUUCUUGGAUUUAUUGAAGACUAACUACUGCGAAAGCAUUUGCCAAGGAUGUUUUCAUUAAUCAAGAACGAAAGUUAGGGGAUCGAAGACGAUCAGAUACCGUCGUAGUCUUAACCAUAAACUAUGCCGACUAGGAAUCAGACGAUGUAAUUUUUUAAUGACUCGUUUGGU